UAGAGUUGAUCAUGGCUCAGAUUGAACGCUGGCGGCAGGCCUAACACAUGCAAGUCGAGCGGUAGAGAGGUGCUUGCACCUCUUGAGAGCGGCGGACGGGUGAGUAAUGCCUAGGAAUCUGCCUGAUAGUGGGGGAUAACGUUCGGAAACGGACGCUAAUACCGCAUACGUCCUACGGGAGAAAGCAGGGGACCUUCGGGCCUUGCGCUAUCAGAUGAGCCUAGGUCGGAUUAGCUAGUUGGUGAGGUAAAGGCUCACCAAGGCGACGAUCCGUAACUGGUCUGAGAGGAUGAUCAGUCACACUGGAACUGAGACACGGUCCAGACUCCUACGGGAGGCAGCAGUGGGGAAUAUUGGACAAUGGGCGAAAGCCUGAUCCAGCCAUGCCGCGUGUGUGAAGAAGGUCUUCGGAUUGUAAAGCACUUUAAGUUGGGAGGAAGGGUCGUUACCUAAUACGUGACGAUUUGACGUACCG
rnacentral:rRNA from 1 species